UGCCAGACUCCUACGGGAGGCAGCAGUGAGGAAUAUUGGUCAAUGGCCGCAGGGCUGAACCAGCCAAGUCGCGUGAGGGAUGACGGUCCUAUGGAUUGUAAACCUCUUUUGUCAGGGAGCAAAGGGCGCCACGUGUGGCGUUUUGCGAGUACCUGAAGAAAAAGCAUCGGCUAACUCCGUGCCAGCAGCCGCGGUAAUACGGAGGAUGCGAGCGUUAUCCGGAUUUAUUGGGUUUAAAGGGUGCGCAGGCGGAAUGUCAAGUCAGCGGUAAAAUUUCGGGGCUCACCCCCGUCGUGCCGUUGAAACUGGCGUUCUUGAGUGAGCGAGAAGUAUGCGGAAUGCGUGGUGUAGCGGUGAAAUGCUUAGAUAUUGCGCAGAACUCCGAUUGCGAAGGCAGCAUACCGGCGGCGAUCUGACGCUGAGGCACGAAAGCGUGGGUAUCGAACAGGAUUAGAUCCCCU
rnacentral:rRNA from 1 species